UUUUGUGAUGCUAAUAAUAGCAGAAAAGGAACAAAUCCAAGACUCUAGGUCUCCCUUUUUUGUUUUACUGGUUUUAUUAUAGAAUUGUUUUUAAGCCUCUUAUGGAUGAAAGCUGCAUUUAAAUACUAUCUACUGAUUUUAUAGAAAGGUAUGUCCAUUUCUUGGGUCACUUUCAGAGAAAGAAAACAAGCAAAAUAGGUUCUUUUGAAUAUGAAUAAUUUAAAAGCAUAAUUGAAGAUGUAGUGAGUAUUUAUAAUUGGACCUUAGUUACACGUGCAUUUCUCAAAGGGCUUGUCAUUACAGGAGAUAUUCAGCACUUACCUAAGAUCAAAAUGUCUUCAUCCCAAAUUGGGAAUCGAAUUAUUUCAUGCCAUAUGCAUGAGGUUUGCAGACAUUUCAAGAUUAGCCACUUUGCUUGAAAGAAGAAAAUGAUCAAACCUAAAAUAAACUACACAUGGAGAAUCUCUCUCUCUCUCUCUGCCUCUCUCUCUCUCUUUCUCCCUCUUCUUCCUUCUCUCUCUCUCACAAGCACACACACACACACUCAAUCUCCAUUCUCCAGGCAUUGCCAGAUGGUUAGGAGAAGUGAGCUCUCUCUGGUCCCCUAGAUCCCUCGGCUCUGCUCUCCUUUGCCCAUCAGCUCCCUGUGGCCUCUAUGCUAGUCCUCCCUAUUCUCCUAGUCACCCUUUGCCUCUUAAGCCCAGCCUUGACUCUCUACAUAUUUUUCAUUUCUCUUUACCCUUUAGUGUACAAUAGUUGUAGACUCUGACGGAAUGAAAACAAACAAGAAGCCUAAGCGUUAGACCCUGCUGUGGCUAAAGAUCUAGAAGGCAUAUCAGUUUUCUCUGUCAGGCUUCCUACGUUGCCCUCGUGCAGGGCUCAUUGCUCUGCAGAGCGCUGGAAGCCCCUUCAUGUAUCGAGAGAGAAGCUGGAGCACAGAGCUCUGAUGCACAGUUGGCUGUUUCAGCUCUGACUCAGGGAGGAAAGAAGGAUGCCAAGGCUCUGUCACAGCGGAGAAGUCUAAUACCAGAGUGGCACAGAGAAGGAUUCCAGGGAUCAGUCAGGGUGUCCUGUACCUAUCUGAGUAGAGAUGAUUCAAGGAUGGGGACAUAUUCCAGGAAAUUGCACAAUCUUCCCCUGGCAGCUUCAGAGGACGAGUGAAAAUAGUGCAGUAUAGUCAAAGAAGCAAUGAAUUUAGGAUGAGGAACCUGAAGUUUCUGGACCAGUUUGGUCACUGCUUAGUUACAUGUCCUUAGGAAUGCUUGUCACUUAACCUAAACUUUCUGGGUUUUAUCCUCAUUGCUCAAACUAAGCAACAACACCGAAGCUUCUCUAAUUUGCCUUCUGAUGCCAAAUCGGUCAAAACUGAGGUCAGCAGCUACCAUGACGAAAGUAAAAUGGUAUAUUGGGUGAAUGUUUGAAAAUUUCAGAUUUUAUAUUCUGUAAAGUUAUUUACUUACUCUAUUUCAACACCACAAAAUCUUGAAAUUUGGAAGGUAACCAAGGAAGCUUUGAAAUUUGUUGGCAAACCCGGAGUAGUAUGGUUUCAAAUACCACUCCAACCCAGCACCUGAGGUCGGGCAAACUCACAAAAUAGAGUUUCUAGGUAGCAGGUGUUUGCUUUGGUUUUGCAAUAGCAUUUCUCAUAACAGAACUGAAACUGUAUAGAUUACAACACUCCAAAGUUAUUUUUUUUUAACCUAAAGAACCCUACUUCUAGCACCUCCUCUGAAAGAAUAUUUUGCUCCAAUACCACGUGCAACAAACUUAUUUAGACAGUAUCAACUCUAGCCCUUAAUAGGUUCAAGGACAAGUUUACUGCUUCCUUUCUACACGCUUAAGUUACACUCUCUUCUCCUGUUCUGAUGACUCUAAAUCUUCAGCCUCUCCCAGCAUUAAUGUGUGAGUCAACAUUGCAGACCUGAGAAAGGUUUCUAGAAUGGUAACCCAAUGUUCUUUAGAACUGGAGAAUUCCAUUUUCCUUUUCUGGCUUUAGUGUUAAUGUCUGGGAAGGGAGGCUCAUGAUAAGAAAAUAAAAAUGAGAAAAGAAGAUCUAGUUCAUAAAAUGACUAUACCCCACGUAAGUUUGUAACUGCACAGUGUUUUGUUGUACGGCUCAGAAAUGAGCAAGUGUUAGUAUUAUUAGGCACACAUCACGUUCACAGCUUCGCGCAGAGACGGAUAGUGUAUUUGGAUAUAUGGAAGUCAUCCAAAUGCGUUGCUAGAAUAUCAGGCCUAUGUUUGUUCUGGUAGAACCACAGAGACUCACACAAAGUUCUGACCCUACCACUCUGGUCUGGGCUGAGACCACCCCAAAAAAUCAUCUAGAGAAUCAAAGGGGCUCACAUCUCAGUUGCAUUCUAUUUAAAAGAUAAAGGGGCCAUACUCUCCACUGCAAAGAAGCAUUAGUAAAACUUCCCGCACCCAAAUUAUAAUCCGGCAACCCUAGCUUCAGCUAAAAAGAUUAUCCCCAGAAUCUAAAAGCUUACUAUUGUUCUUUCUUGGAGUCCAAAAUGCUUAGCAGUUCUGCAGUUCACAUACAAAACUCAAAACUCUUUUUAUCCUGUAUUCUGUGAGUUCCUUGAUGAUAGUAAUUGGGUCUUAUUCAUCACUCUGUAUCCUGUGGCUCACACAGAAUCUGGCAAAUUGCAUAUAUUCAAUAAAUGUUGAAUAUCUAAUAACCUCCUUAUUAAUAUAACAAAUAUUAUCAACAUUCUGUGCACAUCAAUGUCCCAUGCUGCUACUGUAGUCAGGAGUUAUUUGGCUGGGAAGUGGAAAGUGUUCACAAACAUGAUGCUUAUCUAAUAAAAUAUCACUGAGCAAUAAGGAGAAAUAUUUUAAAUAGAUUUGAAGUUGUGAACAAAUAAUUUAGAGUCCAAAGAGGAAAAAGAAAAUUAACUCUGUUUUUUAUCCCUAGAACUCAGAAACUUUACUGGAUUGGUCAACAAAGACAAACUUUUUAUUGUAUAAAACAGUAGAAUUCAUGGAAGGGAUAAUUCUUUUGGAACAGGCUUCUCGGUUACUUGCCUUAGUAAAAGAAGUAUCUGGAGGGCCUGGAGAGUUCAUAAACAUAGUUUUCUGUGCAAGUGAAGAUCUGUAGUUUGGCUUAAAAAUCCUUGCAUGUAGUUUUGCUUGGCGUGGAAAGUUAUUAGGAGACAAUCCUUUAUCCUGUUCUGCAAGCAAUCAAACACAUGAUCUCCCUUCUAGCCAUUCCUCAUCCAGUACAUGGGCAUUUCCAGCCUCCUACAUGUAACACUUCAAACUUCCUCUGGGCGUCUGCUUAGAGCUAUGUGAUGGCCACAGUUUGGGCAAAGCCCUUCUUUCUUUUAAAUAUAGGAACUGUUACCAAGUUUGGUGCAGGCUUGAGGAAUAAUUACAUAAAAAUGGGCUUCCACGAUGGUGAAUCAGCAUGCUGAUUUCUCUUGGCAGGAAGCUCUCAGGGAAAUGUCUGUGAAUCAUUUAAAGAUGCUCUCUGGUGGAUAGAGAAACCGCAGUCCAAAAACAGAUGGGUGUAUAUUUGCUUUGUAAGCAAAGGGCAUGUAUCAUACUCGCAUCUAAAACAGUGUCCACAUCUUUGCCAAAGGCACUGAAUUUUACCUUUUUUUAUUACCUCGUGGCCAGCACUUCCUCAGUAGGCAUUUCAGGUGUGUCACAAACCAUGUUCAUUUUUAAUCUUGAAAAAGUCAAUCGUCUGUAGUCUGUACUAUAAAAUGAUGCCUGCAACUUUGUGGUGAAUAUUAUCCCCAAGUUAACAGUGAAAUAAGUAAAUAAAACUAUUAUUG
rnacentral:lncRNA from 10 species